AUCUAGAACUACCUAUUAUAAUUACUGGCUCAGAGGAUGGCACAGUUCGCUUGUGGCACUCUACAACCUACAGGCUUGAGAACACUCUUCAUUAUGGUCUUGAGCGAGUUUGGGCUUUAGGAUACAUGAAGGGGUCAAGAAGGUCUGUCGUUAGUUUAGCUGCUACGUCGGAUCUGAUGCUGUUUUCGCCGAUAUAUAGAUUUGUUUGUUGCCUCUUGUUUCACGUUCUUCCGGUCGAUCGCUUGCUCGAUCUGUGCCUGGACAUCAUCUCCAUGUCGCGGCUUCGUGAACGGAUC